rnacentral:tRNA from 1 species
GCCGGGGUAGCUCAGUUGGCAGAGCGGCGCUCUUGUAAAGCGCGGGUCGCGGGUUCGAUUCCUCGCCCCUGGCACCA